UCACUUCUCUGUUCUCAACAAAAGAAUAAAUUGUAUAUGAAAUUAUAAUAUGCAUCAAAGCUGUACACUCCAAAUUCUAUUAACAUGAUUUCCGAUCCUAACAUAAUGUACAGAUGAUUUUUUUUUUUUUUUUUUUUUUACCCAACACUCAUAUUAUUAAUUAAUUACUUUCCAUCAAAAGGCAUAAACAUAUUCAAUCUAAAUGCCUUUAAUAAUUAAAUAUGCUUAUGCCAUCUGCAUAUUCAUUCACCAUCCAUACACAUUUAUGGAUACAACCAAUCAUGAACCUCUUGCGCCUAUAUAUGUAUACUAAACAAAAUUCAAUAAAAAUUCGGAAUAUACUACCAAUCAAAUACCAUUUAGAGCAAUUUAUUAAUAAUAGCAUAGUUACA
rnacentral:lncRNA from 1 species